GGCGAAGGCGGCUGUCUGGUCUGCAACUGACGCUGGGGCUCGAAAGCAUGGGUAGCGAACAGGAUUAGAUACCCUGGUAGUCCAUGCCGUAAACAAUGAGUGCUAGGUGUUGGAGGGUUUCCGCCCUUCAGUGCCGGAGCUAACGCAUUAAGCACUCCGCCUGGGGAGUACGACCGCAAGGUUGAAACUCAAAGGAAUUGACGGGGGCCCGCACAAGCGGUGGAGCAUGUGGUUUAAUUCGAAGCUACGCGAAGAACCUUACCAGGUCUUGACAUCUUGCGCUAGCCUUAGAGAUAAGGCGUUCCCUUCGGGGACGCAAUGACAGGUGGUGCAUGGUCGUCGUCAGCUCGUGUCGUGAGAUGUUGGGUUAAGUCCCGCAACGAGCGCAACCCUUGUUACUAGUUGCCAGCAUUAAGUUGGGCACUCUAGUGAGACUGCCGGUGACAAACCGGAGGAAGGUGGGGACGACGUCAGAUCAUCAUGCCCCUUAUGACCUGGGCUACACACGUGCUACAAUGGACGGUACAACGAGUCGCAAACUCGCGAGAGUAAGCUAAUCUCUUAAAGCCGUUCUCAGUUCGGACUGUAGGCUGCAACUCGCCUACCCGAAGUCGGCAUCGCUAAUAAUCGCGGAUCAGCAUGCCGCGGUGAAUCCGUUCCCGGGCCCUGACCACACCGCCCGCCCCAC
rnacentral:rRNA from 2 species